UUUCUAACAAUAUUUAUUAAAAAGCAAAAUCCUUGAAUUCUUCCUGGUAGGCUCAGUAUUCAAUUACACAAAAAUAUGCAGUCGGUUUAAGGACUGCACGUAAGAUUAAGAUAACUGGUAUUUCAUGGUAAAUGAUUAAAUUAGCUGACACAGUUCUAUCCUGAACUUUGCCAUUAGGACUGACAUUUUUGUGCUGUGUGCGUUGCAGACGACGGGUAAUCUAAACUGGUAUGAACUUUUUCUCUUUGAAACUCUAACGUGAUCAAGGAGCGAUGUUCUCUCCGAGCAUCUGAACAGAGCAGUUAAAACAGAGUUUGAGAAAACAACCACAAAAAAAAUUCUAUUGUAGUAGGCUGAACUGCCCCAAGAGUAUUCCGGAAUUAGAGAACUCAGGGCUCCUUGAGAAACAAUGAAGAGACGGGGCAGAGGAGAACUAUUGAUUAAUUGAUUUACUGUAAUUUUCAGAUAGAGACGUCUGGGAAAAGAACUCAAUGGGCAGAAUUUUUUCUUUUUCACAGUCAAGUCUCAGUGGACUAAAAGCUUUGUUCUCUGUGGGGCAGGUAGUUCGAUUUCUGUAGUUCCAAAAAACCUCACCGUUUUACAUAUUCAUGCUGAUUUUUGGUUUUCCUUUCUCUAGCUAUCAAGGGGACAAGGGCUGUUAAAGAAAAAAGUGAGAUUUCUGAAACACAGGAAAACUUCUCACUGAAGUCAGGAAUGUGUUACUGAAUCGCUUUCCUUUUUUUCUUGAGGUCACUCCUGUGUUGGGGUCAGCUGCGUCACUGAGGUUCUCUAGUGGGUUUCUGGGUUCUAGGAUCCAGAAAGUUCCGGGAAGUGCUCCUGCCCAUCUUCGUCAGAAGUAAUUAACCAAAAACUAAAGGCCCCUCUUUCUCUUCAUAUUUUGAACCACAGAGCAGCUAAUACCAAGCAUGAAACACCAGUUUUCAGAUCAUUAGCACAAAGCAUCUUCCACAGGAGGCAAUAAAAUGUUGCUUUACAUCUCAGCUACAAUUAUGCUGGCUUUCAGAAAGCAGGAAUCUCCCAGAAAAGAAAUUUACAUGAAAACAGUCCCAUUGUUUGAGAACCUUUGCAAAUGAUGUACAAAGGGGUUUGAUAGUGAUUUUUAAAAAUUCAGGCUUUAUCACGGCCUCAAAGAUGUCCCGAGAAACCUGGUUACCUGUAAAGAACUCCAUUGUACUUACUACGCUUUAAAAAUGUGUACAAUACAGGAUUGUUUCAAAAUUUUUUCCCUAAGCUCCAAACUUCUUCCUCAGCUUCAAAGCCUUCUGUAACGAACGUCCUACAGAGAGUCUAGUGCUUUUUGGUUUAACAGUUCUGAGGGUCACUCAUUACUAGUUAAGAAAGCUGAAGAUAACAGCAAUAAAAACUGACAUAACUCCGAGUAUUUGGAACAACGUGAAAUGUUUCUCCCGUGGGUGUAGCUUUUAGGGAGCACAUGGGGACCCGUACCCCUUAGGGCUUGAUCAGAAGAUGAAACUCAAAGUGUCUCAGUUCAUGUUGAUUGCCUCUCAACUCCCGGGUGCUAGGAAUCUGGAUGUGCCCAUUACCACAUGUUCAAACAAUGGAUCUCCUGUGCCAGGAAUCUCAUUUCUGUAGAAAGACUUAAAAGGAUGGGUGAGGAAUAGGGUGUUGGACCAAAUGUUGUGACAUUUCCCUUUGAUUCUGACUUUCUUUAAAUUCUUCUGCAUUUAGUACCUAGCAUCUGUCUGGCAUUGGUACUCUUAGUUUCUUUGCCUCCUAAUUCACUGUGGAAGAUGAUCAAAGCAUGGAGUUUCUUCUACUCCAGAGGUUGGCAUUUGUGCAGGCACAAGUGAACUUGGUUUUCAAGCACCCAUCUUUGAACACUAGGAAUUCCUUUAAUGAUCCUGCCAGACAACACAGACUCCAGAAUUAGAAGCUUUACUUCCAGCGCUGCCAUUUACCAGCUUUGACACUUUGGACAAGUC
rnacentral:lncRNA from 1 species